rnacentral:misc_RNA from 1 species
CCGGACUUCGCGAUCUGGCAGAUCGGUACGCGCACCGCCUGGACCCCUGUUCAGAACCUGACCUUCUCGGGCGAGUUCAUGUACAGCUUCAUCGACCAGAACAACACCGGCUCGAUCUNACCGGUGCUGCUGCUGCAAACGUGAUCGGCACCUUCAAGCCGAACGGCGUGUACGACUACAAGGACCAGGGCAUCCUGUCCGGCAGCCUCCGCGUUCGCCGCACCUGGUAAUAGCAACCGCCUAACGGCGAUUGUUACCUGAACUAAAAGAACCCCCGGCAAGAAACUGCCGGGG